GGGUCGGUACCUGAGCGGCCAAAGGGGGCAGACUGUAAAUCUGCUGCGAGAGCUACGUAGGUUCGAAUCCUACCCGGCCCA
rnacentral:tRNA from 1 species